ACUCAUUUGGUUUGAGGCUUUAGUUCUAAAUGGUUGUGAAUUCUGUUUUGCAUGUGGGAGUUAUGUUUGAGGAGCCUGGAUCUGCGGUUAGAGUUGUCAAGCUCACACAUACUGGUGUGCCUGAAGAAGAGAUGUUAAUGUUUGCUUACUAUGGGUUUGUUUGAUGUAAUUGCAAUGUUUGUUUUGGACAGUUGAAUAACGUAGGUUACUACUUGAUUAUGGAGGUAUGGAAAUUUCAAUGCGGUUGAGAACACUUUCAAAAGAAUAACAGUUUGGCCAUGGCUGCUUGUAGGACUGCUGGAUAACUGACUUAGCGAAUUUCAGAGUUCAACGUGCUCUUCCCACAACCUUUUCAAUGAGCAAGAUGUGGCCAACCUUGAUAGUGAAAGGAAAAGCAGGACUAGACAACAUUCAGCAUGUUCAAUCUUUUAGAACCUAUAUGAGCCUCAACCAGAACCAAUAUACGUUUCUUUUUUUUUUGUGUUAUUUUUUACUAAAUUUAAUAUUGAUCAUCAUUUUACUAUUUGUUUAAAAUUAGCUUAUAUCACUUCUGACAGCCAUUCUUUUGCUCAUUAUAAAAGAGAUUGCUAUAAA